UUUCGCAAUGCCCGAAAGGGUGACGAAGCGACGCCGCGUGGGUGAGGAAGGCCUUCGGGUUGUAAAGCCCUGUCAGGAGUUAAGAAACUUAAGUGCGCUAAUAUCGCAUUUAUUUGACGAAGGCUCCAAAGGAAGCCACGGCUAACUCUGUGCCAGCAGCCGCGGUAAUACAGAGGUGGCAAGCGUUGUUCGGAAUUAUUGGGCGUAAAGAGCACGUAGGUGGGUUUGUAAGUCAGAUGUGAAAGCCUUCUGUUCAACGGAAGAAUUGCAUCUGAAACUGCAGGUCUUGAGUGUAGGAGGGGAGAAUGGAACUUCUGGUGGAGCGGUGAAAUGCGUAGAUAUCAGAAGGAACGCCGGCGGCGAAAGCGAUUCUCUGGCCUAUUACUGACACUCAGUGUGCGAAAGCUAGGGGAGCAAACGGGAUUAGAUACCCCGGUAGUCCUAGCCGUAAACGAUGGGCACUAAGUAGAGGGGUUUU
rnacentral:rRNA from 1 species